UUUUUCNGCAAGAUCGUGCCAGCAGCCGCGGUAAUACGGAGGGUCCGAGCGUUAUCCGGAUUUAUUGGGUUUAAAGGGUGCGUAGGCGGGACUUUAAGUUAGUCGUUAAAUAGUGAGGCUUAACCUCGCAGUGGCGAUUAAUACUGGAGACCUAGAGAUUAGAUGCAGAGGGCGGAAUGUGUAGUGUAGCGGUGAAAUGCUUAGAUAUUACACAGAACACCGAUNGNGAAGGNAGCUCUCUAAUCUACAUCUGACGCUCAGGCACGAAGGCNUGGGGAUCANACAGGAUUAGAUACCCUGGUAGUCCACGCAGUAAACGAUGAUAACUCGUUGUCGGGCGAUAUACUGUUCGGUGACCAAGCGAAAGCGAUAAGUUAUCCACCUGGGGAGUACGUUCGCAAGAAUGAAACUCAAAGGAAUUGACGGGGGCCCGCACAAGCGGAGGAACAUGUGGUUUAAUUCGAUGAUACGCGAGGAACCUUACCCGGGCUUGAAAGUUAGUGACAGGCGGUGAAAGCCGCUCUUCCAGCAAUGGACACGAAACUAGGUGCUGCAUGGUUGUCGUCAGCUCGUGCCGUGAGGUGUCGGGUUAAGUCCCAUAACGAGCGCAACCCCUGUCGUUAGUUGCUAGCAGGUAAUGCUGAGGACUCUNACGAGACUGCCGGUGUAAACCGAGAGGAAGGUGGGGAUGACGUCNAAUCANCACGGCCCUUACNUCCGGGGCGACACACGUGUUACAAUGGAUGGUACAAAGGGUUGCAACAUANUGAUAUGAAGCUAAUCUCAAAAAGCCAUUCUCAGUUCGGAUCGCANGCUGAAACUCGCCUGC
rnacentral:rRNA from 1 species